CAAUUCAAUUUCCUGGGCUAAGUACCAACAUCAAAAAGUGGUGCUAAGAGUAAAUAGAAACUUUAUAGUGUUAACACAAUGGUCUUGACAUAAAAAAACUCUUUCCGCUCACAAAUGCUCCCUCCAUUCACAAAUCUAAAAUGUUUAACUCUUUUGUGAACAGAGGGAAUAUCCAAUAUAAAUAUGGGUACACAAAUAAAGGUUGACAUAUGACCCAUCUGAACAACCGCAUUAACACUAUAAAGGGUACUCCCUCUGUUUAACAGAGGAGUACCCUCAAAAGAAAACACAAUCGUGUAGACAUAAAGAACUAACAAUGCAACUCCCUACUAGCAAUUUGAGCCAACUAAUGAGCAACUCUACUACACAUCUCUAUAUACAAUGCAGAAGCACACCCAGCACCAUUUUACGCUUUGAUGUCCUUUAUAAUGACUCCAUCCUGCUCUGCUCUAUCAGGAGUUCGAGGGUUCAGCGCUUCCACCACAACCCUGGCACCAGCGUCUUUAAUCUUUAAUCUAAACGUUUAUGGAUAAGUGUGCCACAAUAUAGAACGCCGAAAGCAACAAAUGCAUUGGAAGUAAUCCUUAUUUUCCUUCGAAACGCGUCUCCAUUCCUGUAGGACAGAAAGAAAAAAAACUUUUGAGGAAGCGAGCAACUUCCUACAAAAUUAUAACUGCAUAUGAUUGAUGAUUAUUACGCUUUAAUCUGUGAUUCAACUGAAGGUUCGCCACUGGUGGUCGUCUUGGAAGAGAAAGUUCGCCCAGCCCCUGUAGCUGGACGCACAGAUGCUGGCUUCAUGAUGUGAUUUAUGUUUACUGAGUUCACACCAGUCCUUGAGCAGCUUCUUGUAACAAGCUCACGAGGACAUGGAGAGGUGUUCAAGUACCUUGCUGUCUGCGUGUGGAUUAGACAGGAUAUAUAAGAAGUCAGAACAUGCAACUAAAGUAAAUAUUUAUUUUUUGCCAAACCAAGAGAAAGGAAAUACCACUGCCGAAUCAAGAAAUCAGAUUAAUUCUGAAGUGGAAGAUUACAGUUUUUUAGAGAGAAAAAAUAACUAUAGGUUCCGCUAAUUUUUUCUUUCUUUUGCAAAUUAUGCAGGACUCAAGCAUUCACUUCAGAAGGUGAGAAGCACCAGGUUAAUCCUAGAACUGAACCUAGGCGAGGGUUAAUCCUAGAACUGAACCUAGGCCACGUCUUCUAAAACAUACAGAAAUGAAGCAAGUAAUCUAUCAACUUACAAAGCCAUGGAGCCCAUUGUUAUUGGGGAUCGCCAGUCUAGGAUGGAGACCUCCACUAAGAGCAUCACUGAGAGACGCAACACCGCCUUCCUGGAACCAGCAUGGAAGGAAAUUUCAUAAGUUUCAUAAUAUUGCAUGGAGGAAGUUUCAUUAAUUUGCCAAUAUCGCGUGGAAAAAAGAAACCGAGAUUUCUGCAGCAUGGGCUAUUAAUUCAGUUUGACAGAUAGACUGAACGGAACAAUAACAACUAAGGUUGUGUUUGGACAUAGAGUGUUUUAAAAACGACAGUAUCCCAAAACCAUAGUAUUAUAACCUGUUGGCACUAAAUACCACAGUAUACAAAUACUACAGUAAUUUGCAGUAUUAGAAAAACCGAGGGGCGUUUAGCAGUUUGCAGAAUUUAGCAAAGUACAGUACAUUUUUAAUUUAUGUCAAGUGACUUCGUUUUGAAUUAUGUCACAUGGCUAUCAUUAAAAAAACAAUUCCAAUAACUUUGUGUCGGGGCAUGCAUAAUUUGGUUUAGCACAUGUUACGCAUGUAUUACAAAUCCACAUUUAUAUAUCUAUGUGUGUCAAGCCUUCAAGUUAUGCUUGUUUUAAUCUACUUGUGGAUAAAGCAGCUACACGCUAGAUACUAGAUUCAAAUUUACACGUGAAGGCUAGCUGUAGGUUCAUAUACAUAAGAAUCAGAAGGCACGAAAAAACAGAUCACAUCUAGGGUUCACAUUUCGUUGCCAGGGAGUUGCGCGCCGUAAAAAUAUGUUUUUUUUCAGAAACUUUGCUGUUCUCAGAUAGUACAACUCUAAAAAUAGUUUGUAUCGAAACGGGACGCGAGAAUUUUCCGUGCGGAAUAGGACGAAGAUUGAAGGGCGGAGUAUACAUACCGAGAAAGAUCCGGCCAGCUGGGAGUAUGAUUUCUUCAGCAACACCCGCAAGGCCAUCGCGGAUCGAGGCGUGGCGCUGUACAAAAAUCUGCGAUGCCCCCACGAACGAUUUGCUCGGCCCAACCGAUGAAACGAUUUGUUAUCCCUGCUGCAUAUAAACUACGUAAUCAGGAGGCAAGACCUUGCGCGGUACCGAAGGUCGAUCCGUGUUUGGAUUCAGUUACAGGUCAGCCGCCGCUCUCGCAGCUUCCGGAAUCCAGAGCAGAGAGGAGAGGAGAUAGGUCUCCUUGCGAGUUGCGACGCCAGCGAACACAACGGAUAUGGGCCAAAAAAAUAUUAAAAGCCCAUCUUUGCCAGCGGCUCGCCAGAUGAAAACUGAAACCUGAUGGUCAAAAACUAUUUGGCGCCUGUUGUAGCGUGGGAGCAACUAGUAACGAGCGGUUCGGGAGCGCCCCGCACGUGACAAGUGUCGCCGGCGGAGCGCUCCCGCUAGGGAAAAACCAGGUGGCGGGGUUGGUUUCUGGUUUUUCCUUUUCGGUUUGUGGUUUUGUGCAUUUUGCACUUUGACCUUCAUACUAUCACAUUUUUUCGUUUACCCUUUCCGCACGAAAACACAAAAAAUACCAGUUCGCGCGCUUGGUUCCCUGUUUUCCUUUUUUGUUUCCCUUUUAGUUUUCAUUAUAUUUCCGGGUAACGGAGAUUUAUGGGGCAGUUACAGGCGGGGACUACCAACACUAUCAAAUGUGACCUUUCAAGUAAUGAAAAAAAAGCAACUUUUUAAUGUAAAACGGCAGUCUUCAGAAUUGUUCAACCGUGUGACUUCUUUAUAGGCACAGGUGAACACUAGGAAAGGCACGGGUGUAUAACUUUACUAAAUUGAAGAAAAGCGCCUCCGGCGCGAGGGAACCUCCUACUCGCCUUCGGCUCGUUUAAUUUUCAUAAACAUCNNNNNNNNNNNNNNNNNNNNNNNNNNNNNNNNNNNNNNNNNNNNNNNNNNNNNNNNNNNNNNNNNNNNNNNNNNNNNNNNNNNNNNNNNNNNNNNNNNNNNNNNNNNNNNNNNNNNNNNNNNNNNNNNNNNNNNNNNNNNNNNNNNNNNNNNNNNNNNNNNNNNNNNNNNNNNNNNNNNNNNNNNNNNNNNNNNNNNNNNNNNNNNNNNNNNNNNNNNNNNNNNNNNNNNNNNNNNNNNNNNNNNNNNNNNNNNNNNNNNNNNNNNUUCAUAAACAUCUUGAAGGGGGCAUAGGUCGAAGUGUGUGUUGGUCGUGCAGCGUGCUGGUUCGUGCGGCGCGUUGUCCGUCGCGGUGUGACACGUCGCCUCCGGCGCGAGGGAACCUCCUGCUCGCCUUCGGCUCGUUUAAUUUUCAUAAACAUCUUGAAGGGGGGCAUAGGUCGAAGUGUGUGUUGGUCGUGCAGCGUGCUGGUUCGUGCGGCGUGUUGUCCGUCGCGGUGUGACACGGUGCCUCCGGCGCGAGGGAACCUCCUGCUCGCCUUCGGCUCGUUUAAUUAUCAUAAACAUCUGAUACGUUCAUUUUGCAUCAUGCUUUUAUAUCAAUAUUUAUUGCAUUAUGGGCUGUUAUUACGCAUUAUAUCUCAAUACUUAUGGCUAUUUUUUCUUAUUUUUACAAGGUUUACCAUGAAAAGGGGGAAUACCGGCAGCUGGAAUUCUGGCUGGAAAAGGAGCAAACGUUGAAAACCUAUUCUACACAGCUCCAAAAGUCCUGAGACUCCACGAAACAACUUUUUGGAUUUAAUAAGAAUUUCUGAGCGAAAGAACUAGGCCAGGGGCCCCACACCCUGUCCAGGAGACAGGGGCGCCCCCCUAUAGGGCGCGCCCCUAUCUCCUGGGCCCCCUGGUGGGCCUCCGGCGUCCAUCUUCUGCUAUAUCAUCACUUUUACCCUGGAAAAAAUCGUGGGCAAGCUUACGGGACGAAACUCCGUUGUCACGAGGCGAAACCUUGGCGGAAUCAAUCUAGGGCUCUGGCGGAGCUGUUCUGCGGGGAAACUUCCCUCUGGGAGGGGGAAAUCAUCACCAACGUCAUCACCAACGAUCCUCUCAUCAGGAGGGGGUCAAUCUCCAUCAACAUCUUCACCAGCACCAUCUCCUCUCAAAACCCUAGUUCAUCUCUUGUAUCCAAUCUUGUAUCAAAACCACAAAUUGGUACAUGUGGGUUGCUAGUAGUGUUGAUUACUCCUUGUAGUUGAUGCUAAUUGGUUUACUUGGUGGAAGAUCAUAUGUUCAGAUCCUUUAUGCAUAUUAUUACUCCUCUGAUUAUGAACAUGAAUAUGCUUUGUGAGUAGUUACGUUUGUUCCUGAGGACAUGGGUGAAGCCUUGCUAUUAGUAGUCAUGUGAAUUUGGUAUUCGUUCGAUAUUUUGAUGAGAUGUAUGUUGUCUUUUUCUCUAGUGGUGUUAUGUGAACGUCGACUACAUGAUACUUCACCAUUAUUUGGGCCUAGAGGAAGGCAUGGGGAAGUAAUAAGUAGAUGAUGGGUUGCUAGAGUGACAGAAGCUUAAACCCUAGUUUAUGCGUUGCUUCGUUAGGGGCUGAUAUGGAUCCAUAUGUUUAAUGUUGUGGCUAGGUUUACCUUAAUACUUCUUUUGUAGUUGCGGGCGCUUGCAAUAGGGGUUAAUCAUAAGUGGGAUGCUUGUCCAAGUUAGGGCAGCACCCAAGUACCGGUCCACCCACAUAUCAAAUUAUCAAAGUACCGAGUGCGAAUCAUAUGAGCGUGAUGAAAACUAGCUUGACGAUAAUUCUCAAUGUGUCCUCGGGAGCUCCUUUCUCAUUAUUAGAAAUUGUCCAGGCUUAUCCUUUGCUACAUAAAGGAUUGGGCCACCUUGCUGCACUUUACUUACUUUAUUUACUUGUUACUCGUUACUAUUUAUCUUAUCACAAAACUAUCCAUUACCUACAAUUUCAGUGCUUGCAGAGAAAAUCUUACUGAAAACCACUUAUCAUUUCCUACUGCUCCUCGUUGGGUUCGACACUCUUACUUAUCGAAAGGAUUACGAUAGAUCCCCUAUACUUGUGGGUCAUCAAGACUCUUUUCUGGCGCAGUUGCCGGGGAGUGUAGCGCUUUUGGUAAGUGGAACUUGGUAAGGAAACAUUUAUAUAGUGUGCUAAAAUUUUCUGUUACUUGUCACUAUGGAAACUAAUCCUUUGAGGGGCUUGUUUGGGGUAUCUUCACCCCAACCAGAAGAGCAAAGAGUUGCUCCUCAACCUACUGAACUUUAUGAAAAUAUUUAUUUUAAGAUUUCUUCAGGUAUGAUAGAGAAAUUGCUAGCUAAUCCAUUUGCAGGAGAUGGAACAUUGCAUCCCGAUUUACACCUUAUCUUUGUGGAUGAAGUUUGUGGAUUAUUUAAGCUUGCAGGUAUUCCCGAUGGUGUUGUCAAAAGGAAGGUCUUCCCUUUAUCUUUAAAGGGAGAUGCAUUGACAUGGUAUAGGCUAUGUGAUGAUACAAGAUCUUGGAAUUAUAAGCGAUUGAAGUUGGAAUUUCACUAGAAGUUCUAUCCUAUGCAUCUUAUUCAUCGUGAUCGUAAUUACAUAUAUAAUUUCUGGCCUCACGAAGGAGAAAGCAUCGCUCAAGCUUGGGGAGGCUUAAGUCAAUGUUAUAUUCAUGCCCCAAUCAUGAGCUCUCUCGGGAAAUGAUUAUUCAGAACUUUUAUGCUCGGCUUUCUCUUGAUAAUCGCAACCUGCUCGAUACCUCCUGUGCUGGUUCUUAUAUGCUGAAGACUAUUGAUUUCAAAUGGGACUUAUUGGAAAUAAUUAAACGCAACUCUGAAGAUUGGGGUUCCGACGAUGGUAAGGAGUCAGGUAUGACACCUAAGUUCGAUUGUGUUAAAUCUUUUAUGGAUACCGAUGUUUUUCGUGGAUUUAGCGCUAAGUAUGGGCUUGACUCUGAGAUAGUAGCUACCUUUUGUGAAUCUUUUGCUACUCACGUUGAUCUCCCUAAGGAGAAGUGGUUUAAUUAUAAUCCUCCUGUUGAAGUGAAAGUAGUUACACCUAUUACAGUCGAAGAAAAGACUAUUACCUAUAGUGAUCCUAUUGUUCCUACUGCUUAUGUUGAAAAACCUCCUUUUCCUAUUAGGAUAAAGGAUCAUGCUAAAGCUUCGACUGUUGUUCGUAAGAGUAAUACUAGGACUUAUACACCUCCUGAGCAAAUUAAUGUUGAACCUAGUAUUGCUAUGGUUAAAGAUCUCUUGGAUGAGGACUUAGAUGGGCAUGUUAUUUCUUUCUUGGGUGAGACUGCUAAUAUUGCUAGACCUGAUACUAAGACACGUAGACCUGUCGUAGGCAUGCCUGUUAUUUCUGUUAAAAUAGGAGAUCAUUGUUAUCAUGGCUUAUGUGAUAUGGGUGCUAGUGCUAGUGCGAUACCUUAUGAUCUUUAUAAAGAAAUUAUGCACGACAUUGCACCCGUUGAAUUAGAAGACAUUGAUGUUACUAUUAAGCUUGCUAAUAGGGACACCAUUAAACCUAUUGGGAUUGUUAGAGAUGUUGAAGUUUUGUGUGGGAAGGUUAAAUACCCUACUGAUUUUCUUGUUCUUGCUUCCCCACAAGAUGCCUUUUGUCCCAUUAUUUUUGGUAGGCCCUUCUUGAAUACUGCUAGUGCUAAAAUUAAUUGUGAAAAGAAUAUUGUCACUGUUGGCAUAGAUGGUAUGUCUCAUGAGUUUAAUAUCGCUAAGUUUAGUAGACAACCUCGUGAAAGGGAACCACCUAGUAAGGAUGAGAUUAUCGGUCUUGCUUCCAUUGCUGUUCCUCCAACUGAUCCGUUAGAACAGUAUUUGCUAGACCAUGAAAACGAUAUAUUUAUGAAGUAAAGGGAAGAAAUAGAUGAAGUGUUCCUUAAACAGGAACCUAUGCUGAAACAUAACCUUCCCGUUGAAAUUCUUGGGGAUCCCCCUCCACCCAAGGGUGAUCCCGUGUUUGAACUCAAACCAUUACCGGAUAAUCUUAAGUAUUCUUAUCUUGAUGAAAAAAAUACCUUGUUAUUAUUAGUGCUAACCUUUCAGAGAAAGAAGAAGAAAGAUUAUUAAAAACUCUGAAGAAGCACCGAGCAACUAUUGGAUAUACUCUGGAUGAUCUUAAGGGCAUUAGUCCCACAUUAUGUCAACACAAGAUUUCAGUGGAGAAAGAUGCCAAACCAGUUAGAGAUCCUCAAAGACGAUUAAAUCCCAAGAUGAAGGAAGUGGUAAGAAAGGAGAUACUAAAGCUCCUUGAGGCAGGUAUUAUUUAUCCCGUUGCUGAUAGUGAAUGGGCAAGCCCUGUCCAUUGUAUCCCUAAAAAGGGAGGUAUUACCAUCGUUCCUAAUGAUAAAGAUGAAUUGAUCCCGCAAAGAAUUAUUACAGGUUAUAGGAUGGUAAUUGAUUUCCGUAAGUUAAAUAAAGCUACUAAGAAAGAUCAUUACCCUUUACCUUUUAUUGAUCAAAUGCUAGAAAGGCUAUCCAAACACACACAUUUUUGCUUUCUAGAUGGUUAUUCUGGUUUCUCUCAUAUACCUGUUUCAGCGAAGGAUCAAUCUAAAACUACUUUUACUUACCCUUUUGGUACUUUUUCUUAUAGACGCAUGCCUUUUGGUUUAUGUAAUGCACCUGCUACCUUUCAAAGAUGCAUGAUGGCUAUAUUCUCUGAUUUUUGUGAAAAGAUUUGUGAGGUAUUCAUGGAUGACUUCUCCGUCUAUGGAUCCUCUUUUGAUGAUUGUUUGAGCAACCUUGAUCGAGUUUUGCAGAGAUGCGAAGACACUAGUCUCGUCCUGAAUUGGGAAAAGUGUCACUUUAUGGUUAACGAAGGCAUUGUCUUGGGGCACAAGAUCUCCGAGAGAGGUAUUGAAGUUGAUAAAGCCAAAGUUGAUGCUAUUGAAAAGAUGCCAUGUCCCAAGGACAUAAAAGGUAUAAGAAGUUUCCUCGGUCAUGCCGGUUUUUAUAGGAGGUUCAUUAAGGACUUUUCUAAAAUCUCUAGGCCUCUGACUAAUUUAUUGCAAAAAGAUAUUCCUUUUGUCUUUGAUGAUGAUUGUGUAGAAGCUUUUGAAACACUUAAGAAAGCUUUGAUCACUGCACCUAUUGUUCAGCCACCUGAUUGGAAUUUACCUUUUGAAAUUAUGUGCGAUGCUAGUGAUUAUGCUGUAGGUGUUGUUCUAGGGCAAAGAGCCGAUAAGAAAUUGAAUGUUAUCCAGUAUGCUAGUAAGACUCUUGAUACUGCCUAGAGAAAUUAUGCUACUACUGAAAAAGAAUUCUUAGCAGUUUGUGUUUGCAUGUGAUAAGUUUAGACCUUAUAUUGUUGAUUCCAAAGUUACUAUUCACACUGAUCAUGCUGCUAUUAAAUAUCUUAUGGAAAAGAAAGAUGCUAAGCCUAGACUCAUUAGAUGGGUUCUCUUACUCCAAGAAUUUGACUUGCAUAUUAUUGAUAGAAAGGGAGCUGAGAACCCCGUUGCAGAUAACUUGUCUAGGUUAGAGAAUGGUCUUGAUGACCCACUGCCUAUUAAUGAUAGCUUUCCUGAUGAACAAUUAGCGGUCGUCAAUGCUUCUCGUACUGCUCCUUGUAUGCUGAUUAUGCUAAUUACAUUGUUGCUAAAUAUAUACCGCCUAGUUUCACAUACCAGCAACAGAAAAAGUUCUUUUAUGAUUUAAGACAUUACUUCUGGGAUGAUCCACACCUUUAUAAAGAAGGAGUAGAUGGUGUUAUUAGACGUUGUGUGCCUGAGCAUGAACAUCAACAUAUUCUACGUAAGUGUCAUUCUGAGUCUUAUGGAGGACACCAUGCUGGAGAUAGAACUGCACACAAGGUACUAUAAUCUGGUUUUUAUUGGCCUACUCUCUUCAAAGAUGCUCGUAAGUUUGUCUUAUCUUGCGAUGAAUGUCAAAGAAUAGGUAACAUUAGUAGACGUCAAGAAAUGCCUAUGAAUUAUUCUCUUGUUAUUGAACCGUUUGAUGUUUGGGGCUUUGAUUAUAUGGGACCUUUUCCUGCCUCUAAUGGUUAUACACAUAUCUUAGUUGCUGUUGAUUACGUUACUAAGUGGGUAGAAGCUAUUCCAACUAGUAGUGCUGAUCAUAACACUUCUAUUAAAAUGCUUAAAGAAGUUAUUUUUCCAAGGUUUGGAGUCCCUAGAUAUCUUAUGACUGAUGGUGGUUCACAUUUUAUUCAUGGUGCUUUCCGUAAGAUGCUUGGUAAGUAUGAUGUCAAUCAUAGAAUAGCAUCUCCUUAUCAUCCGCGGUCUAGUGGUCAAGUAGAGUUGAGCAAUAGAGAGCUCAAAUUAAUUUUGCAAAAGACUGUGAAUAGAUCUAGAAAGAAUUGGUCCAAAAAACUUGAUGAUGCAUUAUGGGCCUAUAGAACUGUAUACAAAAAUCCUAUGGGUAUGUCUCCUUAUAAGAUGGUUUAUGGAAAAGCGUGUCAUUUACCUCUUGAACUUGAACAUAAGGCAUAUUGGGCUAUCAAAGAGAUCAACUAUGACUUCAAACUUGCCGGUGAGAAGAGGUUGUUUGAUAUUAGCUCACUUGAUGAAUGGAGAACCCAAGCCUAUGAGAAUGCCAAGCUUUUCAAAGAAAAAGUCAAACGCUGGCAUGAUAAGAGGAUACAGAAGCGUGAGUUUAAUGUAGGAGAUUAUGUGUUAUUAUUCAACUCUCGUUUAAGAUUUUUUGCAGGAAAACUUCUCUCAAAAUGGGAAGGUCCCUACGUUAUCGAGGAGGUCUAUCGUUCUGGUGCUAUAAAAAUCAACAACUUCGAAGGCACAAGUCCAAGGGUGGUUAACGGUCAAAGAAUUAAACACUACAUUUCAGGUAAUCCUAUCAAUGUUGAAACUAAUAUUAUUGAAACCGUAACCCCUGAGGAAUACAUAAAGGACACUUUCCAGAACAUUUCAGACUCCGAAAAGGUAUAGGUAUAUGGUACGGUAAGUAAACCGACUCCAAAACAACUUUAAUGGCAAUUUUUAUCAGUUUUGGUUUAUUUAAGAAUUUUAGGAAGAAAGAAGUAGUCUGAAAGGGACACGAGGCUUCCACGAGAGUGGAGCCCCCCCUGUAGGGCGCGCCCCCUGUCUCGUGGGCACCUCGUGUGCCUCCCGGACUCCGUUUUCUUGUAUGUUACAUAUUUUGGUCGGUAAAAAUUCAUUAUAUAUACUCCCGAAGGUUUUGACCACCAUAUCACACAAAUAUCCUCUAUUUUCAUUUCGAGCUGCUUCUGUUGCAGAAUAAAGCAAGAUGUCUUCUCAGGAGUCAGUUGGGGAGAGCCGGGUGUCUCACCCAACGCCAAGUCCAGGAGCAAAUAACGAUGCCUAUCACUUUGGACCAUCAACGGAGGAUGAGAUGGAGGCUGAUUUGAAAAGGAUAGAUGCCAUGGAGGAAGAUCAAGAAGUUACCUCUCGUCUCCAAGCAGAAUUCACUAUGGGGGAACUACCUAGCCUGGCUGUCCCUGUAUCGGUCACCCCUUCUAACUCUAGAUUUUUUUCUUAUGAAAAUAUGAAAAAGAGUUUCACUUGUUCUCCAGAAGCUAUGCAGCAUCCUUGGGUAAAAGGAGCUUUGGCCGUUACAGGCAAGCUCCGUAAAGAAAUUAUGGACCUCAAAUAACAAGUCAAUAAGCUCGAGGAGGAGAACCGUAUCCUGAAGGGCAUCAUCACCAAGAAGAUCAUAACACGAACUGUGAAGAAGGAGAAAUAAUCACAUGGGUAUGGGUACUCCCCUUAGCAACUGCCAAGCUUGGGGGAGGUGCCCCGGUAUUGUAUCACCAUCACACUCCUAUCUUUACCGCUUUUAUUUAGUUCAAUCCUUUUAGUAGUAUCUUGAUCUAGUAGUUUGAAGUUUUGAUAUCAAGUAGUUUUGAGUUUUGCAUUGUGAUCUAUUUUCGUAAUCGAGUCCGUGUGCUAUCUAUAAUAAAGAUUAGUGUUGAGUCAAGGGCUUUGCUAUGUUGCUAUGAUCUUGAGAAAGUAGAAAGAAUAAAAGAGUUCAUAUUGAUCUUAUGGAUAGUGAUAACUUCACACAUAGAGAGUAUGAGGCAUAAAAAUUGUUGGGAGUUGAUGAACGUAGCCUUGGUCAUCGUUGCAAUUAAUAGGAAGUGAUAAAGAAAGAGGGGUUCACAUAUAGAUAUAUUAUCUUGGACAUCUUUUAUGAUUGUGAAGCACCCAUUAAGUAUGACAUGCUAAAAGAGUUGAUGUUGGACAAGGAAGACAACAUAAUGGUUUAUGUUUUCCGACAUCUUAGUUAAAGUAUAUUGUCAUUGACCUUCCAAACAUGUUGAGCUUGCCUUUCCCCCUCAUGCUAGCCAAAUUCCUUGCACCAAGUAGAAAUACUACUUGUGCUUCCAAAUAUCCUUAAACCUAGUUUUGCCAUGAGAGUCCACCAUACCUACCUAUGGAUUGAGUAAGAUCCUUCAAGUAAGUUGUCAUCGGUGCAAGCAAUAAAAAUUGCUCUCUAAAUAUGUAUGACUUAUUAGUACAGAGAAAAUAAGCUUUGUACGAACUUGUUGUGGAAGUAAUAAAAGCGACGGACUGCAUAAUAAAGGUCCACAUACAAGGGGCAAUAUAAAGUGACGUUCUUUUGCAUUAAGAUUUUAUGCAUCAACCCUAAACGCGCAUGACAACCUCUGCUUCUCUCUGCGAAGGGCCUAUCUUUUACUUUAUGUUUUUACUUUAUGCUUGAGUCAAGGUGGUCCUCACCUUUCCCUUUUUCAUUUUAUCCUUUGGCAAGCUCCUCGUGUUUGAAAGAUCAUGAUAUAUAUAUCCAACUGGAUGUAAGUUAGCAUGGGCUAUUAUUGUUGACAUCACCUAAAGGUGAAUACGUUGGGAGGCAACACAAUAAGCCCCUAUCUUUCUCAGUGUCCGG
rnacentral:lncRNA from 1 species